UACAGAGGUCUCAAGCGUUGUUCGGAUUCAUUGGGCGUAAAGGGUGCGUAGGUGGCGCUGUAAGUCGGGUGUGAAAUUUCGGAGCUUAACUCCGAAACUGCAUUCGAUACUGCGGUGCUUGAGGACUGGAGAGGAGACUGGAAUUCAUGGUGUAGCAGUGAAAUGCGUAGAUAUCGAGAGGAACACCAGUGGCGAAGGCGAGUCUCUGGACAUUUCCUGACGCUGAGGCACGAAAGCCAGGGGAGCAAACGGG
rnacentral:rRNA from 1 species